rnacentral:rRNA from 1 species
GGGGAAUAUUGGGCAAUGGGCGAAAGCCUGACCCAGCAACGCCGCGUGAAGGAAGAAGGCUUUCGGGUUGUAAACUUCUUUUGGCAGGGACGAAAAAAAUGACGGUACCUGCAGAAUAAGCUCCGGCUAACUACGUGCCAGCAGCCGCGGUAAUACGUAGGGAGCAAGCGUUAUCCGGAUUUACUGGGUGUAAAGGGAGCGUAGGCGGGAAUGCAAGUCAGAUGUGAAAUCUGAGGGCUCAACCCUCAAACUGCAUUUGAAACUGUGUUUCUUGAGUGGUGGAGAGGCAAGUGGAAUUCCUAGUGUAGCGGUGAAAUGCGUAGAUAUUAGGAGGAACACCAGUGGCGAAGGCGACUUGCUGGACACUAACUGACGCUGAGGCUCGAAAGCGUGGGGAGCAAAC